CCACCCAGUAAAAUAUUUCAAAACGCUGGCUAUAGACGUAGUCAUAAUAAAGGAUAAAACCUGUAAAAAAAGUAGUAAACACGUGAUCUUAAAAUUUCAAUGUCAUCAUUUUAAUUUACGAAAUCACUGAGUUAACCUGAGAUCGUCGACACUGGUUUUGUUCAGUUUUAUUACAAGGCUGGUCAUCUCUGUUUCGGCUUCUUUCCAUAUUCAGGAAUAAGGUUCGAAAGAACGAAAUUGUUCUAUUACGAAAAGGCGAAAUUGCUAUUACUUAAGCAACCUGUGACUGCGCGACCCAUACCAAUUACCACCAUAAAAAGAGGACACGCUCAUGCGGUUGCUCUCCGCAUCGUACCAUGACCAGGGUUUUUUCGCGGUCAUGAACCUCCUGACCACCCUCCAUAUAUGCGAAAACUGUGGCAGCAGCGCACGAAUCACAUUCAUCCUUGUACCUGAUUGGAUGUUCCUGAGCUUCGGAAACUAAUAUUUGAGGCGACAAAUUUGUAUUUUACAGAAGGAACGAAAUAAAUCUUAGUAAAUGCAACAA